rnacentral:rRNA from 1 species
UACGAACUGUGUAAACGUUAUUCGGAAUCACUGGGCUUAAAGGGUGCGUAGGCGGCUUAUCAAGUAGGGUGUGAAAGCCCCCCGGCUUAACCGGGGAAUUGCGCCCUAAACUGACGAGCUGGAGUGGGACAGGGGUGUGUGGAACUUCCGGUGGAGCGGUGAAAUGUGUUGAUAUCGGAAGGAACGCCGGUGGCGAAAGCGACACACUGGGUCUCAACUGACGCUGAGGCACGAAAGCCAGGGGGAGCGAAACGGG